rnacentral:rRNA from 1 species
GCGAUUUUCAGAGAUGAUUAUUCUUCAGUUCGGCUGGACCGGGUGACAGGUGCUGCAUGGCUGUCGUCAGCUCGUGUCGUGAGACGUUGGGUUAAGUCCCGCAACGAGCGCAACCCUCGCCUUUAGUUACCAGCAUUUAGUUUGGGGACUCUAAAGGGACUGCCGGUGAUAAGCCGGAGGAAGGUGGGGAUGACGUCAAGUCCUCAUGGCCCUUAUGGGCUGGGCUACACACGUGCUACAAUGGCGGCGACAGAGGGUAACGAUCCCGCAAGGGUAAGCCAAUCCCGAAAAGCCGUCUCAGUUCGGAUUGUUCUCUGCAACUCGAGAACAUGAAGGUGGAAUCGCUAGUAAUCGCAGAUCAGCAUGCUGCGGUGAAUACGUUCCCGGGCCUUGUACACACCGCCC